rnacentral:lncRNA from 10 species
AAUGAUUCAGUGAGUGUUUAUACUGUUUGUGUUAUUUAGGCAGCACAUUUUUGUUCGGAAUAGUCAAAACUAUCUUUGCGGUGGCAUCCCAAUGAAGGAGGAAGGAGGAAUUUGUAUCUGGUAGCUGGACAGUACUGGACCCAUCACAAUUUCAAUACUGGGAAGAGAAAAGCCAGUCCUCUGGGGAAAGAUGAAGCACUGGACCUACAAACUAACUACUUUCAACCCCUGGAUGAAUCUAGGAGAUUAGUCCCGAUAUCAAGGCAAUGUCAAGAGUGAAGGGGAGGAUCAAGAUUUUUUUUGAGUGAUUGUUUCCUGGAAGGUACCAUUCAAUUGUCAGGAAUAUAGCCGGGAACAAAGGAAAAAAUACCUGCCUUCAUAGAUCAUAAAUUCUGGAGGAACAGAUUAAUAAAUAACAAAUGAAUUUACACUAUAAAAUCAGGAGAAAAAAAAAUAACAAGAAAAUGACCAUGGAAAGUAACAACAACUGAAAACGGAUAAAAUGAAGAUGUGUGAAAGAGCACAAGAGUGCAAAACCAAAAGUAUACAAGGAGUGUUUAUGCAGUAACCACUUUAGAAUGCCUUUCCUCAUGUUUGAAGACUUCUAAACUAGGGCAAGGACAGAUCCCAGCAACUACUGGAAGCAUAAUAAAGGAGAAGAAUGAGGCAUUUUCUUCUCUCAUAUACAGAUUAUAUGUAAUUAGGAUGCUAAGGAUAAUUUUGUAACAUAAAAACGGAGAUGCUAAGGAGAAUGGUUUCACCCUAGUUUAUAGAAGGAGGGUAUACUAUGGUCUAUCAAAGACUGAAAAUUGUCCUCUGCUAAUAAAGUCUCAAAUCAGGGCAAUUGGAUUUCUUUCUUUUUUUUUUUUUAUUAUACUUUAAGUUUUAGGGUACAUGUGCACAAUGUGAAGGUUUGUUACAUAUGUAUACAUGUUCCAUGUUGGUGUGCUGCACCCAUUAACUCAUCAUUUACAUUAGGUAUAUCUCCUAAUGCUAUCCCUCCCCACUCUCCCAGCCCCACAACAGGUCCUGGUGUGUGAUGUUCUCCUUCCUGUGUCCAUGUGUUCAAUUCCCACCUAUGAGUUGAGUUAGAGUUACUAGUCUCAAAUAAAUGCUUGGUAAUGCCAUACAAUCUAAACAUGUUGUCACUGUCAACUCACUAUCUCAUAUUCUGCAAUGAUACCCUUCUAUAUUCUGAAAUUCCUUCCCCAUUCUCAGCAGAUAGCCUCAGAUCAUAUAUCAUACACACAAUUGAACAUAUCACAUAGAAAUUUCAUCAGCUCACUGCCUCCAAUCCAAUGAACCUAACAUCUACUAACAUCAACACCAUCCAGGAAACCAUGACCUCACCAGAUGAACUAAAUAAGGCACCAGGGAAAAAUACCAGUGAAACAGAGACAUGUGACCUUUCAGACAGAUAAUUCAAAAUAGCUGUGUUGAGGAAACUCAAAUUCAAGAUGAUACAGAGAAGGAAUUCAGAAUUAGAUAAAUUUAACAAAGAGAUUGAAAUAAUUAAGAAUCAAGCAGAAAUUCUGGAGCUGAAAAACGCAACUGGCGUAUUGAGAAAUGCACCAGAGUCUCUUAAUAGCAGAACUGAUCAAGCAGAAGAAUGAAUUAGUGAUGUUGAAGACAGACUAUUGGAAAUGCACAGUCAGAAGAGAAAAAAGAAAAAACAAUGAAGCACGCCUACAGGAUCUAAAAAAUAGCCCCCAAAGGGCAAAUCUAAGAGUUACUGGCCUUAAAGAGGGGGGGCUCAACACCCAAGUACAAAAAGGUUAGAGAACACCAAGUAGAUUUAAUCUAAAGAAGACUACCUUGAAUCGUUUAACAAUUAAACUCCCAAAGGUCAAGGAUAAAGAAAGGAUACUAAAAGAACCAAGAGAAAAGAAACAAGUAACAUACACUAGAGCUCCAGUACACCUGGUAGCAGACUUUUCAGUGGAAACCUUACACACCAGGAGAGUGACAUGGCAUAUUUAAAGUGCUAAAGGGUGGAAAAAAAGCCUUUUACCCUGGA